UACGUAGGGUGCAAGCGUUGUCCGGAAUUAUUGGGCGUAAAGAGCUCGUAGGCGGUCUGUCGCGUCUGCUGUGAAAACUCAGGGCUUAACCCUGAGCUUGCAGUGGGUACGGGCAGACUAGAGUGCGGUAGGGGAGACUGGAAUUCCUGGUGUAGCGGUGAAAUGCGCAGAUAUCAGGAGGAACACCGGUGGCGAAGGCGGGGUCUCUGGGCAGUAACUGACGCUGGAGGAGCGAAAGCGUGGGGAGCGAACAGG
rnacentral:rRNA from 1 species